AUAAUCGGGGAGAAGUCUGGAGUCUAUUCCUAACGGCGAGAAGGGCCUAACUAAAUUUCACAUUCAUCCAUUAAUUACCCAAACAUUGGGAAAGCUUUAUCGGUUGCGCUAUUUGUGGAAGCAUUGAGGGGAUAAAAGACUUUUUACCAUAUAAACUAGUCAUAGCCUAUUGUCGUAUGUUCAAAAAAAGCAAUUUGCAAACCAUUUAUCGUGUGGUUACUUUCAGAAAAGCCUAUACCACAGGAAAUCAAUCCGUUGUCAAGUUUUGAGUUUGACGAGUUUUCAAGUAAUGAUUUUGAUGACCAAGAGCUUUGUAAGUUGUUAUCUGAAUGCGAGCAGAGGCUAAAUGAUUCUAAGAAUGAUGAAAUGGAAAAAAUGCUGAAUACAAACGAGAACAACACGAACGAAGAUUGUGUCCCAAGAAAUAAACAAGAUGUAACGCAAUUUGACAAUAGUGGUUGUGUUACGCAACCUAAAGUUGGUUGAUUGUGACUUCGGUAAUGACUUGGACGAUGCAUUACUGCUUGAGCUUCAGAUUCCACAUCACAGUUGUGAUAGCGAGGGUGCAGUUUCACAUACAAGAAGCCUUAGGGAUCACAAGAAGCAUUCGUGACAAUCUUGUCACGAUAAUGAGAAUUACACGAACGAAAUAUGGAAGUUAUCAGACGAGAGAAGCAACAAAACCAAAAUAAAUAAAACGGCUAGAAUUGACCUCUCACCAAAUUAUGCGAUUUGGCAGGAUGAAACAGAAGCCAGGAUGAGUGAAAAGUAUAUGUGUGGUGGGGUAUUACUUGAGGAUUAUUGCGAUCAUAAUGCAAGGGAAAAAUUUUAUCAAAAGGGGAAGUUUCUGAGUGGUUGGAUGAAGAAUCUCUUGGUGAUUUAGAGUUGUCCAUGGCUGCGGAGGAGGCCGAAAGUACGGCUUUACUCAAAUUUAACCUACUAGUUUAGCACACUUUUUUUUUUAAUGUGAUAACUCUCUUUACCAGGAAAAGCCUCAAAGAUAGUGUAAAUUAUUUGUUAAGUUCAAUUCGAUGUUGUCCUGUACAGCCCUGAAUUCAAAGUCAGUUUCGAGAAGUGUUUUCUAACUACAUAAAUGAGUGGUAAACGUUUUAGCGCUGAGAUAUCUGUGUUCUCAAAUAUGUGAUCAGCUGGUUUUAACGGAAAAGAAAGUUUUGAAAAAGAGAGGCUUUCAAAAGAAGCUGUAAGAACCUAAUUAAAAAACUUUAAAAAAGAA